GCGGGCGUAGUAUAGUGGUAAUACGUAAGCUUCCCAAGCUUGAAUCGUGGGUUCAAUUCCCAUCGCCCGCUCCA
rnacentral:tRNA from 2 species